rnacentral:rRNA from 1 species
GACGAACGCUGGCGGUGUGCCUAAUACAUGCAAGUCGAACGAGAGCGACCGGUGCUUGCACUGGUCAAUCUAGUGGCGAACGGGUGAGUAACACGUGGGUAACCUGCCCAUCAGAGGGGGAUAACAUCCGGAAACGGAUGCUAAAACCGCAUAGGUCUUCGAACCGCAUGGUUUGAAGAGGAAAAGAGGCGCAAGCUUCUGCUGAUGGAUGGACCCGCGGUGCAUUAGCUAGUUGGUGAGGUAACGGCUCACCAAGGCCGUGAUGCAUAGCCGACCUGAGAGGGUGAUCGGCCACAUUGGGACUGAGACACGGCCCAAACUCCUACGGGAGGCAGCAGUAGGGAAUCUUCCGCAAUGGACGCAAGUCUGACGGAGCAACGCCGCGUGAGUGAAGAAGGUUUUCGGACCGUAAAACUCUGUUGUUAGAGAAGAACAAGUGCUAGAGUAACUGUUAGCGCCUUGACGGUAUCUAACCAGAAAGCCACGGCUAACUACGUG